AUGAGGCCUCAGGUGCUGCUCCUCGCGUUGGCCAUCGUCGCCGUCCUCGCAGCUCUGCCCCUUGCACAUGGCCAAGGGGCGAGCCCGUGGCCGUGCUGCGACAAGUGCGGUGUGUGUACCAAGUCCAUCCCGCCGCAGUGCAGGUGCCAGGACGUGACGCCGACCGGGUGCAACUCAGCUUGCAAGAGCUGCGUCAGGUCCACCGCCGGCUUCCAGUGCGCGGACAGCAUCACCAACUUCUGCCAGCGCCGCUGCACGGCGGCGGCGUGA
rnacentral:rRNA from 1 species